GAUGAACGCUGGCGGCGUGCCUAAUACAUGCCAGUCGAGCGAACAGACGAGGAGCUUGCUCCUCUGACGUUAGCGGCGGACGGGUGGGUAACACGUGGAUAACCUACCUAUAAGACUGGGAUAACUUCGGGAAACCGGAGCUAGUACCGGAUAAUAUAUUGAACCGCAUGGUUCAAUAGUGAAAGACGGUUUUGCUGUCACUUAUAGAUGGAUCCGCGCCGCAUUAGCUAGUUGGUAAGGUAACGGCUUACCAAGGCAACGAUGCGUAGCCGACCUGAGAGGGUGAUCGGCCACACUGGAACUGAGACACGGUCCAGACUCCUACGGGAGGCAGCAGUAGGGAAUCUUCCGCAAUGGGCGAAAGCCUGACGGAGCAACGCCGCGUGAGUGAUGAAGGUCUUCGGAUCGUAAAACUCUGUUAUUAGGGAAGAACAAAUGUGUAAGUAACUAUGCACGUCUUGACGGUACCUAAUCAGAAAGCCACGGCUAACUACGUG
rnacentral:rRNA from 1 species